AUUUGACUGAAUAGUUGACCCAA
rnacentral:snRNA from 1 species